CAUUAGGUUGAUUCUGCCUAACGUAGAUGCUAGUCUCUGAGAUUAAGCCAUGCAUGUCAGUGAAGCCUUACGGUGGAACGGCGAACGGCUCAGUAAUGUUGCGGUAAUUUGGUCUCUGUGUGUAAACUAACCACGGUAACCUGUGGCUAAAAGCGGAGAAUAAGGCGCAACCCUAUCAGCUUGUUGGUAGUGUAAAGGACUACCAAGGCCAUGACGGGUAACGGGAAAUCAGGGUUUGAUUCCGGAGAGGGAGCCUGAGAGAUGGCUCCCACGUCCAAGGACGGCAGCAGGCGCGAAACUUGUCCACUCCUUACGGGGGAGACAGUCAUGAGACGUGAGUAUAAGACCUGAGUGUAAAGACCUUAGGGUGAAGCAAUUGGAGGGCAAGCUUUGGUGCCAGCAGCCGCGGUAACUCCAACUCCAAGAGUGUCUAUGGUGGAUGCUGCAGUUAAAGGGUCCGUAGUCGUGAAUGCAAUUAAAUGUCGUUGUUCAAUAGCGAUGAGUUUGCUAAUGUUUGCGGAACGGAUAGGGAGUGUAGUAUAGACUGGCGAAGAAUGAAAUCUCAAGACCCAGUUGGACUAACGAGCGAAGCG
rfam:Enterocytozoon bieneusi H348 ctg01_987, whole genome shotgun sequence.